AUUGAACGCUGGCGGCAUGCCUUACACAUGCAAGUCGAACGGCAGCACGGGUGCUUGCCCCUGGUGGCGAGUGGCGAACGGGUGAGUAAUACAUCGGAACAUGUCCUGUAGUGGGGGAUAGCCCGGCGAAAGCCGGAUUAAUACCGCAUACGAACUACGGAUGAAAGCGGGGGCCCUUCGGGCCUCGCGCUAUAGGGUUGGCCGAUGGCUGAUUAGCUAGUUGGUGGGGUAAAGGCCUACCAAGGCGACGAUCAGUAGCUGGUCUGAGAGGACGACCAGCCACACUGGGACUGAGACACGGCCCAGACUCCUACGGGAGGCAGCAGUGGGGAAUUUUGGACAAUGGGCGAAAGCCUGAUCCAGCAAUGCCGCGUGUGUGAAGAAGGCCUUCGGGUUGUAAAGCACUUUUGUCCGGAAAGAAAUCCUUGGCCCUAAUACGGUCGGGGGAUGACGGUACCGGAAGAAUAAGCACCGGCUAACUACGUG
rnacentral:rRNA from 1 species